rnacentral:rRNA from 1 species
CGGGUGAAGGAACUAGGCAAAAUGGUGCCGUAACUUCGGGAGAAGGCACGCUGGUGUGUAGGUGAAGUCCCUGCGGAUGGAGCUGAGACCAGUCGAAGAUACCAGCUGGCUGCAACUGUUUAUUAAAAACACAGCACUGUGCAAACACGAAAGUGGACGUAUACGGUGUGACGCCUGCCCGGUGCCGGAAGGUUAAUUGAUGGGGUUAUCCGUAAGGAGAAGCUCUUGAUCGAAGCCCCGGUAAACGGCGGCCGUAACUAUAACGGUCCUAAGGUAGCGAAAUUCCUUGUCGGGUAAGUUCCGACCUGCACGAAUGGCGUAAUGAUGGCCAGGCUGUCUCCACCCGAGACUCAGUGAAAUUGAACUCGCUGUGAAGAUGCAGUGUACCCGCGGCAAGACGGAAAGACCCCGUGAACCUUUACUAUAGCUUGACACUGAACAUUGAGCCUUGAUGUGUAGGAUAGGUGGGAGGCUUUGAAGCGUGGACGCCAGUCUGCGUGGAGCCAACCUUGAAAUACCACCCUUUAAUGUUUGAUGUUCUAACGUUGGCCCCUGACCGGGGUUGCGGACAGUGUCUGGUGGGUAGUUUGACUGGGGCGGUCUCCUCCCAAAGCGUAACGGAGGAGCACGAAGGUUAGCUAAUCCUGGUCGGACAUCAGGAGGUUAGUGCAAUGGCAUAAGCUAGCUUGACUGCGAGCGUGACGGCGCGAGCAGGUGCGAAAGCAGGUCAUAGUGAUCCGGUGGUUCUGAAUGGAAGGGCCAUCGCUCAACGGAUAAAAGGUACUCCGGGGAUAACAGGCUGAUACCGCCCAAGAGUUCAUAUCGACGGCGGUGUUUGGCACCUCGAUGUCGGCUCAUCACAUCCUGGGGCUGAAGUAGGUCCCAAGGGUAUGGCUGUUCGCCAUUUAAAGUGGUACGCGAGCUGGGUUUAGAACGUCGUGAGACAGUUCGGUCCCUAUCUGCCGUGGGCGCUGGAGAAUUGAGGGGGGCUGCUCCUAGUACGAGAGGACCGGAGUGGACGCAUCACUGGUGUUCGGGUUGUCAUGCCAAUGGCACUGCCCGGUAGCUAAAUGCGGAAGAGAUAAGUGCUGAAAGCAUCUAAGCACGAAACUUGCCCCGAGAUGAGUUCUCCCUGAGACUUUAAGUCUCCUGAAGGAACGUUGAAGACGACGACGUUGAUAGGCCGGGUGUGUAAGCGCAGCGAUGCGUUGAGCUAACCGGUACUAAUGAACCGUGAGGCUUAACCUUACAACGCCGAAG